UGUCAAGUCAGUUGUCAAAACAUUGAUAAUAAUUUUAGGUUAUAAUUUCUCAAAAAAAUGAUUCUUCAUAGUAAAAUUAAUAUUAUGUUUCGUAAUCUUUCGUCUGUACGUUUGACAACGAAUAGAACAUUUAAGAAUUUUGGCCACAAACGGGAACAAAUUCCUCUUGUUACCACAUUAUGGCAUGGGUUCCUUACCUUUACUUUCAUUGGAACGGCAUUGAAUUGGGACGCAAUAAACAAAUUCUUUUUUGGUGACAAGGACUUUGAUGAAGAUAUUCAAAAGUCUCUGGCAUACAAGAUCGUAGAAGAUUAGGUAACAGGAAGCGCAAAGGGGCACCCUAGAACCAGGCAGUGCUGCCUUGUUCAAGACACCGCGGCCGCGCUUGGGCGCCGACGAGACGCCGAAUGUUUUGCCGCGAGCAGCAGCUCCUACACUGGAACCUGUCGACGGGGUAGGAUCACACACUGGACCUUGGUUAGCACCAGAAAUCGAAGGUUUUGGUUGACA